rnacentral:rRNA from 1 species
AUGUAUGUAGAAGAAGAGCUUCAUUGGCACCAAUUCUCUAACGAGAGAUGGUUGUUGAAAGGAGAUAAUAACAUUGACUUUUUUCAUAAAGUAGCUAAUGGGGGUCGCAGGAAAAACUCCAUGAAAUCUCUUGAGUACGGAUCUGUGACUAUAGAAGGGACCAAAAACUUGUUGUCCCAUGCCACAGAGUAUUAUAAAACCCUUUUUGGGCCGGCUCCGGGUAACCUUUGCCAUAUCGAUGCAGACUUAUGGUCUCAGGAAGAGAGGAUGACAUAUGCUGAUAAUGAAGACUUAACUCGACCUUUUUCUCUUGAGGAGAUUAAAAAAGCCCUUUUUGAUAUGAGAUCCAACCGUGCCCCUGGUUCGGAUGAUAUACCUGUUGAGUUCUAUCAACAUUGCUGAGAGGUGGUUUGA